CUCAGAUGACGCUGGCGGCGUGCCUAAUACAUGCAAGUCGAGCGAACGGACGAGAAGCUUGCUUCUCUGAUGUUAGCGGCGGACGGGUGAGUAACACGUGGAUAACCUACCUAUAAGACUGGGAUAACUUCGGGAAACCGGAGCUAAUACCGGAUAAUAUUUUGAACCGCAUGGUUCAAAAGUGAAAGACGGUCUUGCUGUCACUUAUAGAUGGAUCCGCGCUGCAUUAGCUAGUUGGUAAGGUAACGGCUUACCAAGGCAACGAUGCAUAGCCGACCUGAGAGGGUGAUCGGCCACACUGGAACUGAGACACGGUCCAGACUCCUACGGGAGGCAGCAGUAGGGAAUCUUCCGCAAUGGGCGAAAGCCUGACGGAGCAACGCCGCGUGAGUGAUGAAGGUCUUCGGAUCGUAAAACUCUGUUAUUAGGGAAGAACAUAUGUGUAAGUAACUGUGCACAUCUUGACGGUACCUAAUCAGAAAGCCACGGCUAACUACGUGCCAGCAGCCGCGGUAAUACGUAGGUGGCAAGCGUUAUCCGGAAUUAUUGGGCGUAAAGCGCGCGUAGGCGGUUUUUUAAGUCUGAUGUGAAAGCCCACGGCUCAACCCGUGGAGGGUCAUUGGAAACUGGAAAACUUGAGUGCAGAAGAGGAAAGUGGAAUUUCCAUGUGUAGCGGUGAAAUGCGCAGAGAUAUGGAGGAACACCAGUGGCGAAGGCGACUUUCUGGUCUGUAACUGACGCUGAUGUGCGAAAGCGUGGGGAUCAAACAGGAUUAGAUACCCUGGUAGUCCACGCCGUAAACGAUGAGUGCUAAGUGUUAGGGGGUUUCCGCCCCUUAGUGCUGCAGCUAACGCAUUAAGCACUCCGCCUGGGGAGUACGACCGCAAGGUUGAAACUCAAAGGAAUUGACGGGGACCCGCACAAGCGGUGGAGCAUGUGGUUUAAUUCGAAGCAACGCGAAGAACCUUACCAAAUCUUGACAUCCUUUGACAACUCUAGAGAUAGAGCUUUCCCCUUCGGGGGACAAAGUGACAGGUGGUGCAUGGUUGUCGUCAGCUCGUGUCGUGAGAUGUUGGGUUAAGUCCCGCAACGAGCGCAACCCUUAAGCUUAGUUGCCAUCAUUAAGUUGGGCACUCUAAGUUGACUGCCGGUGACAAACCGGAGGAAGGUGGGGAUGACGUCAAAUCAUCAUGCCCCUUAUGAUUUGGGCUACACACGUGCUACAAUGGACAAUACAAAGGGCAGCGAAACCGCGAGGUCAAGCAAAUCCCAUAAAGUUGUUCUCAGUUCGGAUUGUAGUCUGCAACUCGACUACAUGAAGCUGGAAUCGCUAGUAAUCGUAGAUCAGCAUGCUACGGUGAAUACGUUCCCGGGUCUUGUACACACCGCCCGUCACACCACGAGAGUUUGUAACACCCGAAGCCGGUGGAGUAACCUUUUAGGAGCUAGCCGUCGAAGGUGGGACAAAUGAUUGGG
rnacentral:rRNA from 1 species